rnacentral:rRNA from 1 species
UACGAAGGGAGCUAGCGUUGUUCGGAAUCACUGGGCGUAAAGCGCACGUAGGCGGAUGUGUCAGUCAGGGGUGAAAUCCCGGAGCUCAACUUCGGAACUGCCUUUGAUACAGCACAUCUGGAGUCCGGAAGAGGUGGGUGGAAUUCCUAGUGUAGAGGUGAAAUUCGUAGAUAUUAGGAAGAACACCGGUGGCGAAGGCGGCCCACUGGUCCGGUACUGACGCUGAGGCGCGAAAGCUAGGGUAGCAAACAGG